GGUUCCAUUAUAAAUUGAACACAUCGCCCCAACGGUCACUUCCCCUUCUUCCGGACAGCUUACUCUCUACGAAACCACCUAAUGUUUCUCUCAGUCGCCAUUGAAGCUUGUGCUCGGCUCAUCUAACAAGUAUUUCGUUCUUUUCUUUCCUUAUACAGGGUCUGGGCCAAUCUGGAAAGAAUGGAGAUUAUAACUGGGGGUUUCAUAAAUGGAUCGUGAUCCCUUGAGAGUUUUGAUUUGUUUGUGGGUUUUUUAUUUGGUUUAAUCUAUAAAUUUCGAUGUGCAUCGGUUGUUAUAUGUUCUCUUACAAGGGCGUCGAUUACCAUCUAUGGUUUGAAACCCUUGGGUCACAAGUACAUUACGAGCAGACCCGAUUGGUAUUCUCUGUGAGAUUUGUUUCAAAACUGUGGAAUCAUAUCCACUAUUUUAAUGUUCUUCUGCUCUCUUUCGACGUUGUUGAUUUCGAUUUCAAUGGUUAGUUUUUCUGAAAUUCUAACAGUUGUUGGGCUUCGGCUUCCUUGGUUCAAGAUUGUCCACAAUCCGAAUCCGAACCCAAAUUCAAAAAAUUAGACCUACAAAGGUCCGAACACGGAAAACGCGCGAUUACGCACCACAGCGAAAGACCUCUCUCUGGAAUUCCAAAAGACUUUCCAGAUGAAAACGAAACCUCGUAGGGUUUCUCCUCUGAGCAACAACAAUACUUUUUCGCAGGAAAAACUUGGGAAUUUGAACCUAAAAAGCGUUGUUGAUUCUCUGCACCGAAAGAAAUUCCAGGAAAAUAGUUUCAAUACUUGAAUUUUUGUUUGAGAUUGUUCCAGCUUUCAGAUCGGAAUUGGCAGUUCCAAUUUGAUUUGAUUGAUCGGCAUGUCAAUGGCAUUGGAUGUUUCGUCUCAAACAGCCAGUAAUGGAGAUUCCGCCAAUUUCUCUCGCACUUUCAAGUACUUAUUAUUUUUUGUCAGGGGGGAUUCCCUUCAUAUUCAAUGCAUGGAUUGUGAGGCUUCUAACAGUUGCGGAAUAUGUGGAUCGAUUUGAGAAGCCGGAGAUAACAUGCUUUGUAAUAAAUAUUGUCCGAGAAAUGCGAUCAUGUGUUGGUCUAAGAUUGGUGGUGGGCGUGCAUACUGGAGCUAUUGGCUGAACCCUUAUAUAUCCUUUCUCAGAACUUGCUUCUACUUAAAUUGCAUUUGAUGGUUGAAACUGCCACUACACUUUCACGUUUUAUGACACUGUACAUUCUUAUUUUCAAGCAAAGUUACCUGGGAGCUUAGUGGUGAGGAUGGUGUUUCUUCCAUUUGAUGAAAGCUCAUAUACUACGUUUGCCAGGUCUGCAUCAGGUUUACCUCUUUCCCUUCUUUCAAUGAUAUUAUUGUUUUUUCAAAAGAUUGCACAACCAUCCUAGAUCCAUGUGCAUGUGUUCACUACUAUUUUGUUGUUGAACUAAGGAGGAUUGCAAUUAAAGUUCACCAAACAAAGUUCUAUCAAUUGAGCUUGGAAUGGAUAAAGGGUCUUCUCCACGUUAGGCACCAGCACCAUGACAAUAUAUAUUGCAUUGCAAUUUUGGCAGAAUACUACUAGUAGUUUACCCAUGAUAUAGUGGUUGGUCAAAGACUUAUGGUCAAAGAAGAAAGGGAGUUCAUAGUUCAUACAAACCACAACUACCUAGGUAGUCCUCAAUUCACAUUUUAUGGCCAAUUUUUUAAGAGGUUAAAAAGAAACAAUUUAGUUGUUAUGGUUGCUCCAUUUUCUCUUAUGCAUUAUUGUAGAUGUAUUUUUUGAAAAAAAUUUGGUAGAUGUUCCUAAAAAGAAAGUCCUAGGUUUGAAACUGUCCGGUCAUUAACAUUUCAGCAUAUUUAGCAGUUUACCAUUUUAUAUUUCUUUCAACAGGACAGCAUCCAGAGAAAAGCAGGAAGUAAUCAAGUGCAUGUUUUUUUUUCUUUUUUUCAGAGCAAGAUGAGCCUUCCCUGCCAAAGAAAUAUUAAACUUUUCUAUUCAUGUAUGAGUAACACUCUUAUUUGGAUAAAUUUUGAACUUGUAUUUCGAUUCUCUCAUAGCCAUGGAGUAGACUGUAGACAGUGGAUGAGAUGGUAAAAAGUCGUGCCAGGCCAUAAUUCUUUUGGAGAUUGAUUUAUGUUUGAGCAAUUGAGCAUGUAGCUUUUAAGAAACUUGAUUUAUCAUACUUCAUAUAUUCUUCCACCAAGCCACCAUUAAACAAUCAUUCAUUAUUUAGUAUUGUUGGCUUUCAGUAUAUUUAUGUUUGUGUAUGAUUUACACUGCAAGGAUGCUAUUUUCGUAAUUUAUUCUACUUCCAUGAUAGCUAUCGCCAUGAGAAUCAAAACUUACCUAGCAACUUUGAAGGUAGGAUCAAUUUUACUUUGGAAUAUGCUUAUUAUUUUCUAUUGCCUCCUUUCACAUCUGUAUGUAUGCGUAACAUGAGAUGUUCGUGAUGCAGCCAAAAGCGCAAGAAUGAUGGAGAUUACAUACUCCUGAAUUCUAUGAAAGAUGAAACAUGGUAGAUGAAUGAUAGCAAGAGAUAAAUUUUGGGCAAUGUGAUUCCUGAAGCAAUUAUCAAAUAAAAUAAUAUCCUGACGUAGCAAAGUAAUAAAUAGCAUGUUAAUUUUUAACCUUCUAUGCUAACCCCGGGAGCUAUCCAUCCAUCCAUUUUACCCUCCUUCAGUCUCUUUAAAGGCCCCUUUGUGGGAGGAAUUUUCUAUGCAAGUAAACAGUGAAUUUUCCCCUUAAUAUUGGAAACUUUUUCAUAUCAAUAAUAGUUGGUUCAGAAAAUGUAAGAGGUACUGAGUAAGAUACUUAGAAUUUCCUGUUUCUCUUAUUUCCCUGGAUAUUGAUUUUAGUACUAACAUUGGUCAUGUCUCUAAUAAUUCUUUUUUUAAAAUAUUUUUAAUUAUUUGCUAACUUUUUUGGUGGUGUUCUUAUGGUUGUGUUUUCCAAAGCUGAAGGAAAUUUGAACUCUACUCUAGAAGGAAUAAAAAAGCGGAUUUGCAAACCUGGAUAGUUUGCAGCUUGGCCAGGUAUUUUUGUUUCCUUGUGCAGAUAAUGGCGUGUUCUAAGCUGGAUUUUCUAAUAGAGAGUUUGGUAGGCCUAUGAAGCAAAGAGGUGAGUUUGAAAUCUAUAAUCUGUGCACUGUUUUGGAAGAUUUUUAAGGCAUUGAUUAUGAGCUCUGCUCAGGUAUAUGAUUGCUUACUACACAUGCCUACAUGAAAGUAUGAAACACUUGCAUAAAGCAAAGCAAAUAUGCUCCAAUAAGCAUUUCUAAGACAGUAUAUUUACUGGAGUUUUAACUGUGCAUGCUCUAUGAAAGACUUGUUGAAGUACAACAAAUGUGCUUGGCUAAUCAUUUCUAAAGAUAUUGAAACAUUCUAUUAACAAGAAGAAAGUGAUCAGUUCAACGCAAAUAUACUUGACAAACUUUUAGCUGGAGAAAAAUGGUUGUCAAUGUAGGCAUUACAGGAGCAGUGUUCCCUGGCCCCGUUCAUUUUGGAUAAAUUUGAGUUUCUCAAGUGCUCCAUUUUCUUCACACCAACUGCCUCAUAAAUGUACACAAAUCAGGACAGUUGUUACCGUUGCUUCGCACUUCUGGCUAGUUGAAAUUCAAUAUUUAGUAAAAGGCUUCUUUUUGGGUACAUUUGAGGAAUCGAUGGUAAUAAAAUAGGAGUUAUGCACAAUGCCCAUAUUACAUAAUACUGUUACAUUAUAAAGAGGUUCUUGUCGAGGUUUGACCCCUUGAUACCUAAAUGGCAAUUACAAAGCUUAUAUAGCUUGAUUAAUAUUGAUCUUUGACUGCAGAUUAAAAUUUCUAGAUUUUUGAACUUAGUAAAAGGGUUAUUAUGGAAUAUGGCCUUUCUAUGUGAUUUAUGAAAGAGUAUGUAUGUAUUCUGAACAUUAUGUUGUUAUUGACAUUAAUUUUUGGAGCUUAGCUACGCAGUUUUUGUCAAGGGGACUCCCUUCAUAUAAUGCAUGGAUUGUGAGGCUCUUAACAGAAGCGGAAUAUGCGGUAACAAUUUAGUCAACUUAGUUAGGUCAAUGUUCAUUGAUCUGAUGUAAAAUUUGUUUUUCUGUAUUGAUAUUAACGUUCUUGAUUUGUUUUCAUUUUCUAAACUGAAUUCUUCAUUUCAUUUUCAUGAGCGUAGAUAUAUGCAAUGCAAUUUCCCCUCUUAGUUACUUGCACAUUGUUUCUUAGUCGGGAGGGUUUCCGCUGAGCAUGCAUGUGGGCAGAACAAAGCCUAAUUGCUAAUUGUCUUGAUUUGAGAUUACAUUUUUUUCACUCAAACAUGUUUCACAAAAUUAAGAUGCAUUGUUUUUAAUUAGAACGACAGUUUUGCAGCAUUACUGUCUUAGUAUUUGAUCUCAUACAUAAAUACGAAUUCUGCGGUUGGUGAUUCUCACUUAUACUUGAAAUUUGCUUAUUGCAUCUCUAUGAUAAGUUGAAAGAGACCGGAUACCUAAAAGUUGUGGCAAAAGAUGGUUUCAGUUCAUGUGAAUCCUCAAAUUUCUGAUUUUAUUAUGUUGUAGUGGAAACUAAUAUACUGAUUUAGAUGAAGAUCAAGUUUUCAGAGCCAGAGGAUUGAAUUUUUCCUCAAUUUUAAAAUAUUACCCUUCAAUUUGUUUUCAUAUCUAAUGAUUUCUUAUAUCCUUUUCCCCCUUUGCAGUCCUGGUUCAUGAUUUUUUGUGUAUUAUCAUUUGGCUAUAUGUUUUACUAUUGCAUACUAUUUGCUUGUUCUGCAGUAAUGAUAGUUCCAGGGGAGAAAAUGCUACAAAAUUACUGAAAGUAGCAUCAUUGCAAUCAUUGUUGCAGAAUGUUUUCUUGUCUUUUGAUGGCAAGGAUUAAUCAUUCAGAUCCAUAUGGACAAGCUAUCUUGAUUAAUGGUAACGUGCUAUCACUAUUCCUAACAUUCUAGUACAAUCAUAAUUCACUUCAAAAAUUAGUCUGAGGCUAAUAUUUUUUAUGUUUUUCCCUGUUGUUUGGGACAAUCUAAAAGAAGUUUAUUAUACUCAUGGUGAGGUUCUUCCAAUCAUGAUAAUCAGAUGCCAGAAGCUAACCAUAUUUUUGGUACUAGAACGUUCGGUGCACCAUGUUUUUGGUACUGCUAGGAUUAUGGUUGUUCCCCAUUGUUUUUCACAGAAAGUAGGACAACAUCAUCUAAGUUGCAUAUUCCGAAUAUCUUUGAAAUCAUUCAUUUUAUGGGUAAAAUGUGGUAGAGGAGAAGAUGAGCUUUGAAGACAAACAUAGGAAAACAGAACUUGAAGAUUCAUUUGUCUAAUAUUUCUUUUGCCUUUAGGGAAAAAAGAAUAUUGAUUGAAAUUAUAAGUGGAGAAGAAUCUCAUAAAAGGCAUGCACACAUAUUUGGAACUCCUACGCAGAUUUGUAAGGACCAUUAAUGGUUGUUUGUGAGGAUGAUGAAUGACUUUUGUUGGUGGCUUUUGAAAUUGCAUAAUAACUCAAUAUGAUUAUUUUGGUAGCUGGACGAUAAAUCCAUUAAUGAGGACAAAUUUUUCCUGUCCAUGUUUUUUUAUGGAAUAAAUUAUCUUAGAUGAUAAUCAGCUUCACCUAAUAAUUCUACUUAAUGAUCUUAUUGUGGCUUUGAUUAUUUACAAUUGCAAGUAGGAACUGUAUUCGAUAACAGCUUGAUCAUAGAAUUUUGGGCUUAUUUUUCUCUCUAUUUUCCUUUGGUAAAGAAUUAGGUAGGGGUUCCAUCUAGUUAAUAUUCACUAGUCUUUUCACGCCUGUUCUCCUUUUUUCUUACUCUUUGAACAUGGGUCACAACUUAUGUCUUGGCUUCGGGGCUCACUGGAGAACAUGGUUGCACCCAGGUUUGAUCGCCUGCAGUGAUAUGAUGUUGCUCUGUGGAUCAGCUACUUUGUUUUGUAUUAGAAGUUGAAAUUUUUUUUGCAACCUCUGACCUUUGCUAGAUUGACUUUUCUUUAUAUCAUUUUUGUAACAGGAUCAAUUUGAGAAGCCAGAGAUAACAUGCUUUGUAAUAAAUGUUGUCUGAGAAAUGUGAUCAUGUGUUGGUCAUGUAACUGGCAUCAAUUCAAUUUUCUCUUUGAUAUCACUUAUUAUUUGUUAGUUAAAUCAGAUAAAGUCCUGAAAUCUAUAAACAGUACAAGUUUAUUUCAUUUGGCAUUUGGCAGGGUGGACGUGCAUACUGGAGCUGUUGGCUGAACCCUAAUAUAUCCUUUCUCAGAACUUGCUUCUACUUAAAUUGCAUUUGAUGGUUGAGACUGCGGCUAAACUUUCAAGUUGUAUGACACUGUACAUUACUAUUGUCAAGCAAAGUUACCUGGUAAAGGCUUUAGUUUUUUGAAUCUUGAUUGUCACAUGGUGUCAAUAUGAAUAACGUAUCCAGUGAUUGAUUUAUUUGGUAAUGAAUGGCCUGCUGAUUCGGUCAGCUUGUGCAGUUGGCCUGAUCAUUGCAAAUGCAUUGAGUAUCCUUUUUGCAUACUGGAUUUUUCCACUGACCAUCACCUCAUAUAGUUUUCUUGGUAUCAUACUAUCAUGGAAAGCCUUUUACUUUUUGAUCUUAAUGUGAACUUUGAUUGAUUAAUUUAUUUUACUAACAUCUAACACUCGAAAAAAAAAAUUUAUAACUGGUGCUUUGAUACAACGGAAGAGCGGAGAGCCUAUCCACUGCAUUGUAAGUAUGACUCAUUGCUUCAAUUUGUUGAUGAAAUAUGGUUGGUUAGACAUCGUUGAGUUCACUUCACUAAAUGUCUAAUUGAUGGUAUUUUGUAUUGAAUUAUAUUUGGGAAACGAUAUCGGACUUGUGCAUAUGGUGGUCUCCUGCUCAAAUGAUGUCAGACUUGUGAACAAUAGGUGUGCUUGAUGUAGAAGAAGAGAGAAGGGUGCUAAGAAUAAUGAAGACAUUUCCGUAGUUUUGUUCCUCUAUUUGUUUGGUUCACCUUGAGUAAAGGAAUUCCAUUUAGUUGUACCAUGGUGGGUAAAGGCUUGGCCUUUAUGUUCUAAUAAAGCGAAAUCAUGUGUUUCCAGACAUAGACAUCAGCACCUGGCAUGCGAACCCUAAUUCACACAGCAAAGAGAGAAGCUAGCUUCAGCAUCAAGUUUUCAAUGUCAUGUAGAUUUUUUAUUUAACUUAGAUAUCGUUCUCAUUCAACUAAUUUGAAUCAGCUUAGCUACCUUUUGUAUAUAAUCUUGUGCUCUUGGAUUAGUGGUGGCUCCAGUAGGUGUUUCUUUUUGCAUUUUCAUCAUGUUAUAGGAACGUCAAUGAUAUCUGUUUAUUGUUUUAUCAUCCAACAAGUCUUUGAAUGCCAACCCCAACAUUAUUUGCGAUAACGGUUUUCAUGGUGCUGAACAAGUCUUUGAAUUCCAAGUGACAAAGGCGUGAAUCAUCUAUAAUGGUUUAGCAUAAUUCCUUGACUGAUCUAAAAUAUGGUUUUGAGGAUUAUUUACUCCUCUAUCUUUAUCAAGAAUGAUUUCCAGGUAUAUUUGUAAGAUUAUGUCGAAGCAUAUACGCCUAGCGAAUCUUGAUAUUUUGUGUUACCUUGCCAUUCUUAUACUUGGGUUUUUUUUUCCCUCUCCACCGCAGGAUCCUUCAACGUUUUCCUUUCGUCAUAGCUUGCCUUCAGGUUGGACAAUUUUAUUGUUGUCAGGGGUGAUUACUCUUAUUGCUGAGAUUAUAUUUCUGGACCGGGAAAACUUUUUGGCGACAUCUUUUGUGUAUUUUUCCAUCGGGUUUAUUUGCUUCUGCAUGUCAUCCAUUGUCAUGUAAGUUACAUUGCUGUGUUCCAUUUACUUUCUUAACUUCUAAUGACUUCUGAAGAUUUCCUUUUCUUAUUUAGUAUUGUUGGCUUUCAGUAUAUUCGUGUUUCUAUAUGAUUUACGCUGCAAGGAUGCUAUUUUUGUAAUUUAUUCUACUUCCAUGAUAGCUAUCGCCUUGAGAAACCUUUUAUCAACAAAAUUAUCCAUUUUCAGGAUCAUGUGGACUGACAAUCAAAACUUACCCAGCAACUUUGAAGGUAGGAUCAAUUUCACUUUGGAAUAUGCUUAUUAUUUUCUAUUGCCUCCUUUCACAUCUGGAUGUAUGCGAUGCAGCCGAAAGCGCAAGAAUGAUGGAGAUUACAUCCACAUGAACUCUAUGAAACAUGGUAGAUGAAUGAUUGCAAGAGAUAUAAAUUUUGGGAAAUGACAUUCCUGAAGCAAUUAUCAAAUAAAAUAAUAUCCUGACUUAGCAAGGUAAUAAGUAGCAUGCUAAUUUUUAACCUUCUAUGCUAUCCCCGGGAGCUAUCCAUCCAUCCAUCGUACCCUCCUUCAGUCUCCUUAAAGGCCCCUUUGUGGGAGGAAUUUUGUAUACAAGUAAACUGUGAAUUUUCCCUAAUAUUGGAAACUUUUUUAGGAUGUGUUCAUAUUAAUAAUAGUUGGUUCAGAAAAUGUAAGAGGUACUGAGUAAGAUACUUAGAAUUUACUGUUUUUCUUAUUUCCCUGGGUAUUGAUUUUAGAACUAACAUUGGUCAUGUCUCUAAUAAUUCUUUAUUUUUUAAUAUUUUUUAAUUAUUUAUUAACUUUUCUAGUGGUGUUCUUAUGGUUGUGUUUUCCAAAGCUAAAGGAAAUUUGAACUUAACUCUGAAAGUAAUAGAAAAGCGGAUUUGCAACCUGGAUAGUUUGCAGCUUGGCGAGGUUUUCUUUUUUCCUUGUGCAGAUAAUGGCAUGUUCUAAGCUGGAUUUUCUAACACAGAGUUUGGUAGGCCUAUGAAGCUUAAAGGUAUAUGAUUGCUUACUACAUGCCUACAUGAAAGCAUGAAACACUUGCAUAAAGCAAAGCAAAUAUGCUCCGAUAAGCAUUCCUAAGGCAGUAUAUUUACUGGAGUUUUAACUGUGCAUGCUCUAUGAAAGACUUGUUGAAGUACAACAAAUGCGCUUGGCUAAGCAUUUUUGAAGAUAUUGAAACAUUCUAGUUACAAGAAGAAAGUGAUCAGUUCAACGCAAAUAUACUAUGACAAACUUUUAUCUGGAGAAAAAUGGUUGUCAAUGUAGGCAUUAUGGGAGCAGUGUUCCCUAAAUUCUCUGCCCUGGCCUCAUUCACUUUGGAUAAAUUUGAGCUUCUCGAGUGCUCCAUUUUCUUCACACCAACGGCCUCGUAAAUGUACACAAAUAAGGGACAGUUGUUACCGUUCCUUUGCACUUCUGGCUAAUUGAAAUUCAAUAUUUAGUAAAAGGCUUCUUUUUGGGUGCAUUUGAGGAAUGGAUGGUAAUAAAAAUAGGAGUUAUGCACAAUGCUCAUAUUACAUUAGAUGGUCUUGUAGUGUUGAGGUUCUUGUCGAGGUUGGACCCCUUGAUGCCUAAAUGACAAUUGAAAAGCUUAUAUGGCUGGAUUAAUAUUGAUCUCAGUGUUGUUAAAGGCGAGAGGUGCACCACCUAUCAAACGCCAGAGGCGCAAGGCUAGGCACGCGCCUGGCCCCCUCGUGACAACACUGAUUGAUCUUUGACUGCAGAUUAAAAAUUCUAGAUUUUUGAACUUAAUAAAAGGGUUAUUAUGGAGUAUGGACUUUCUAUGUGAUGUAUGAAAGAGGGAGCAUCUGUUUAGAAAAUAUUUGUUGUUGUAAUGUUCAUUUUGGUUUAGGAACAUUUUGGAGCGGAUAUUUUGAUUAUUAAAACAAUAACAUAACAGUAAUGAAAUAAAUUUUUAGAAAACCUUAAAGAACCAAUGUAAUGGUUGUGGUUACUGGCCCUUGUUCUUAGGUCACGACCUAAAACAUUUUAAGUGCAAUCUAUAUACAUGCACCCCUUCUUAGAUCCAUUAGCAGAAAAUCAAUAUGAUGAAGCAAUAGUAGAGAAUUUAUGGUUAAUGAACAAAAAAUAAGAAGAGAGUGAGAAAAGAGA